CCGCCCCGCCCCUCACGUUCAGAUGGAUCUCCCCCAACCUCAUAAGUUGACCCGCGACAUCCCUGUUUUGCCCCCCCCUAGACCCACAGGUGCCUUCCCCCAAGUCAAUGGAUCCCCCCCCAGCCCCACAAGUGACCCCAUUCUGGGCUGGGGGGGCUCCAAAGGGGGGUGGGGAUGCUAUGGGGCUCUAUGGGGCUGAAUGGGGCACAAUGGGGCACAAUGGGAUUAAAUGGGGCUCAAUGGGGUGUGCUGCCCCCCAUCUCCCCCCAGCCCCAUUGAGGCCCCCCCAGCCCCAUAACCCCCCAUCCCUAUAACCCCCUCAUAGCCACCCCAUAACCCUCCAUCCCCAUAGCCCCCCAUCCCUAUAUCCCCCCCAUAGCCCCCCAUAACCCCCCUGUCCCCCCCCAUCCCAUUCUCUAUGUCAUCAGACCCUUAAAAGCCAUUUGGGUCCAAAGGACCCACAAGUGGUUCCGGUGGUUCCGAUGGUUCCAUGGGGCAGCCCUAUGGGGUGCUAUGGGGUGCUAUGGGGCCCUAUGGGGUGCUAUGGGGCCCUAUGGGGUGCUAUGGAGUCCUAUGGGGUCCUAUGGGGUGCUAUGGGGCUCUAUGGGGCGCUAUGGGGUGCUAUGGGGUCCUAUAGGGUGCUAUGGUGCCCUAUGGGGUCCUAUGGGGUGCUAUGGGGCUCUAUGGGGCGCUAUGGGGCCCUAUGGGGUGCUAUGGGGCUCUAUGGGACGCUAUGGGGCCCUAUGGGGUUCUAUGGGGUGCUAUGGGGCCCUAUGGGGUGCUAUGGGGCCCUGUGGGGUCCUAUGAGGCUCUAUGGAGCCCUAUGGGGUGCUAUGGGUCGCUAUGGGGCACUAUGGGGCUCUAUGGGUCGCUAUGGGUCCCUAUGGGUCGCUAUGAGGCCCUAUGGGGCCCUAUGGGGCCCUAUGAGUUGCUAUGGGGUGCUAUGUGUCGCUACGGGGCACUAUGGGGCUCUAUGGGUCGCUGUGGGUCCCUAUGGGUCGCUAUGAGGCCCUAUGGGGCCCUAUGGGUCCCUAUGAGGCUCUAUGGGUCCCUAUGGGUCCCUAUGGGGCGCUAUGGGUCCCUAUGGGGCGGUACCGGUCGGACCGGUCCUUUAGCACCCGCCCGGCCCAGCCCUGAGGGCACCGCGCCCCAUAGAGAACCCCAUAGGGUGACCCAAAAUGAACCCGAAAUGGGGGGGCACCAAAGGGGGGGGGCUGGUUCUGGUCCCAGUCCCGGUCCUGGUUCUGGUUCUGAUUCUGGUUCUGGUCCCAGUCCCAGUCCCGGUUCUGGUUCUGGUCCUGGUUCUGGUCCUGGUCUUGGUUCUGGUUCUGGUUCUGGUCCCGGUCCCGGUUCUGGUCCUGGUUCUGGUCCUGGUUCUGGUUCUGGUUCCGGUUCUGGUCCCGGUCCCAGUUCUGGUUCUGGUCCAGGUCCCGGUUCUGGUUCUGGUUCUGGUCCCAGUGUCGGUACCAAUGUCGGUUCUGGUACCGCUGCUGGUGUUAAUGGUGGUACCAGUCUGGUGCUGGUACCGGUAUCGGUUCUGGUUCUGCUGUUGGUCCCGGUAUCGGUCCCAGGGUCCAUAUUGGUACCGGUGUCAGUCCAGGUUCCGGUACCGGUUCUGCUGUCGGUUCUGGUCCCACUGUGUCUCCAUUGUUGGGCCCAUUGUCAGUCCUGGUCCCGGUUCUGGUUCUGGUCCCAGUCCUGGUUCUGGUCCCGGUUCUGGUCCCGGUUCCGGUUCUGGUCCCGGUUCUGGUUCCGGUUCUGUGGGUGUUUCCAGGCGGCGCCGCAGGGAAAGGAUGAAUCACGGCGGCAUCACAACAGGGCGGGACCGGAACCGAGACCGGAACCGAGACCGGAACCGAGACCGGACCGACCCGAAACGGGACCAGAACCGACCGGACCAACCCAAAAUGGGACCGGGACCAACAGAACCGACAUAAAACGGUACCGGGACCAAAAGAACCGGCCCAAAACGGAACCAGAACCGACCGGACCCACCCGAAACGGAACCGGGACCAACAGAACCGACCCAAAAUGGAACCGGGACUGA
rnacentral:lncRNA from 1 species